AUACGGAGGGUGCGAGCGUUGUUCGGAAUUAUUGGGCGUAAAGCGCGUGUAGGCGGCUUUUAAGUCUGAUGUGAAAGCCCCGGGCUCAACCCGGGAAGUGCAUUGGAUACUGGGAGACUUGAAUACGGGAGAGGGUAGUGGAAUUCCUAGUGUAGGAGUGAAAUCCGUAGAUAUUAGGAGGAACACCGGUGGCGAAGGCGGCUACCUGAACCGAUAUUGACGCUGAGACGCGAAAGCGUGGGGAGC
rnacentral:rRNA from 1 species